CGAUGACUGAGAGCUUGCUCUUCUGAUUAUUGGCGAAGGGGUGAGUAACGCGUGAGUAACCUGCCCUUGACUCUGGGAUAAGCGCUGGAAACGGUGUCUAAUACCGGAUACGAGCUUCAGCCGCAUGGCUAGGAGCUGGAAAGAAUUUUGGUCAAGGAUGGACUCGCGGCCUAUCAGCUAGUUAGGUGAGGUAACGGCCCACCAGGGCAACGACCGCGUAGCCGGCCUGAGAGGGUGACCGGCCACACUGGGACUGAGACACGGCCCAGACUCCUACGGGAGGCAGCAGUGGGGAAUAUUGCGCAAUGGGCGAAAGCCUGAUGCAGCGGCGCCGCGUGAGGGACGACGGCCUUCGGGUUGUAAACCUCUUUUAAUAGGGAAGAAGCGAAAGUGACGGUACCUGCAGAAAAAGCACCGGCGAACUACGUGCCAGCAGCCGCGGUAGUACGUAGGGUGCAAGCGUUGUCCGGAAUUAUUGGGCGUAAAGAGCUCGUAGGCGGUUUGUCGCGUCUGCUGUGAAAACCCGAGGCUCGACCUCGGGCCUGCAGUGGGUACGGGCAGACUAGAGUGCGGAAGGGGAGAUUGGAAUUCCUGGUGUAGCUGUGGAAUGCGCAUAUAUA
rnacentral:rRNA from 1 species